AUUGAACGCUGGCGGCAGGCCUACACAUGCAAGUCCAACGAAUGGCGGACGGGUGAGGAAAGUUCGGGAAAAUGCCCGAAGGAGGGGGAUAACUUCUGGCAACGGUAGCUAAUACCGCAUAGCCUUGGAAUUGCACAGAUGGGAUUAGCUAGUAGGUGGGGUAACGGCUAACCUAGGCGACGAUCCCUAGCUGGUCUGAGAGGAUGACCAGCCACACUGGAACUGAGACACGGUCCAGACUCCUACGGGAGGCAGCAGUGGGGAAUAUUGCACAAUGGGCGCAAGCCUGAUGCAGCCAUGCCGCGUGUAUGAAGAAGGCCUUCGGGUUGUAAAGUACUUUCAGCGGGGAGGCGUUACCCGCAGAAGAAGCACCGGCUAACUCCGUGCCAGCAGCCGCGGUAAUUC
rnacentral:rRNA from 1 species